rnacentral:sRNA from 1 species
GCUGGGUGUGGUGGCGUGCACCUGUAAUCCCAGCUACUCAGGAGGCUGAGGCAGGAGAAUCGCUUGAACCUGGGAGGCGGAGGUUGCAGUGAGCGGAGAUUGCCCCACUGCACUCUGAGCAACAGAGUGAGACUCUGCGUCAAAAAAAAAACAAAAGACUUUUUAAACAAUUUGUUUUUUCAGACGGAGUUUUGCUCUUGUUGCCCAGGCUGGUGUGCAAUAGAGCCAUCUCGGCUCACUGCAAUCUCUGCCUCCCAGGUUCAAGCGAUUCUUCUGUCUCAG